AUGAAUAUACUGGCCUGGAACUGUCGAGGACUGGGGUUGGACUCGACAGUGGGCGAACUACGAGACCUGAUACGGUCCUACAACCCAGCGGUGGUGUUUUUGAGUGAGACGAAGAAGAAGGCGAGGGCGAUGGAAAGGCUCAAGUGGAGUUUGGGUUUCACCAGUGGUGUUGCAAUAGAUUGUGUGGGCCGAAGUGGUGGAUUGGCACUGUGG
rnacentral:rRNA from 1 species